CCUCUGGUAGCUCAGUUGGUAGAGCGGUGGGCUGUAGAUCCAUAGGUCGCUGGUUCAAAUCCGGCCCAGAGGA